UUGUGCAUCACUAGCUCAUUUUCAUAAUAUAAUCAACUCUAAAUUUCAUCUCUCAAUAGCUUUCAAACAAUGGCAUCUUUUGGUGCUGCUUCUUUUUUCGUUGUUUUGAUCAUGGCAUUGGGUGUAUCAAACUCGAAAGCAUGUACUCAUGACUCGGAGUGUCAAUUGAACUGUGAUUAUCUCGAUCUUUGUGACUUAAAAACCAAUAAAUGAAGUUGCUUGCCGGUGUCUGAGCCAUUACCCUUUGAUGAUGUACCGAUGGUGAAUGCUAAAUGCUUCACGGAUACAGAUUGCAUAAAGGCUUGUCCACCAACUUGUAGACCUUACUGUUUACAUUUCUUUUGUGUAUGCUCUUUUAGUGCUUGAAAAAUAUAUUGUUUUCAUUCAAAUGACUUCAGAUUUAGCCUUUCAAUAAUUUGUACUAAAAGAUUGGUACAUAAAAUGAAAGAAUAGAUAAAGGUGUUUGAGAGAAUUAAA